GACGAACGCUGGCGGCGUGCUUAACACAUGCAAGUCGAACGGUGAAGCGCCUUCCUUUUUGGUGGGUGUGGAUGAGUGGCGAACGGGUGAGUAACACGUGAGUAACCUGCCCCCUUCUUCUGGAUAACCGCAUGAAAGUGUGGCUAAUACGGGAUAUUCUGGGUCUGUCGCAUGAUGGGUCUGGGAAAGAUAUUGUUUCGGUGGGGGAUGGGCUCGCGGCCUAUCAGCUUGUUGGUGGGGUGAUGGCCUACCAAGGCGGUGACGGGUAGCCGGCCUGAGAGGGUGGACGGUCACACUGGGACUGAGACACGGCCACGACUCCUACGGGAGGCAGCAGUGGGGAAUAUUGCACAAUGGGCGCAAGCCUGAUGCAGCGACGCCGCGUGAGGGAUGGAGGCCUUCGGGUUGUGAACCUCUUUCGCCAGUGAAGCAGGCCUGCCUCGUUUGUGGGUGGGUUGACGGUAGCUGGAUAAGAAGCGCCGGCUAACUACGUG
rnacentral:rRNA from 1 species